rnacentral:rRNA from 1 species
GAUAAACGCUGGCGGCGUGCCUAACACAUGCAAGUCGAACGAUCCCGCAAGGGAGAGUGGCGGAAGGGUGAGUAACACGUGGAAUCUACCUCCUCGCAGGGAACAACCUCUCGAAAGAGAGGCUAAUACCCAAAGGGUCAGAAAUGAUCAGAGUCGAAAGGCGUGAGGAGAGGAGCCCGCGGCCCAUCAGCUAGUUGGUGAGGUAAUGGCUUACCAAGGCUACGACGGGUAGGGGAUCUGAGAGGAUGUCCCCCACACUGGAACUGAAACACGGUCCAGACGCCUACGGGUGGCAGCAGUGAGGAAUAUUGGACAAUGGGCGAAAGCCCGAUCCAGCAACGCCGCGUGGAGGAUGAAGGCCUUCGGUCGUAAACUUCUUUAGAGGGAGACGAGAAAGGACGGUAUCCCUAGAAUAAGCGACGGCAAACU